CCUUUCAUCAUCAACAAGGCUUCUCUAGAAUAAGCAUGGAGCAAUUGAUUUAAUGAAGCCUCUUCUUAAGUUAUAACUCUCAUUCUGCAGGGAUGAUCUCUGAGAUUUUCAAUAAUUUCAUACCAUUUUAAGGUUUACCAUGGAUGAGAGAAGAUGGUGAUGCACUUGACACUGUUGCCUUAUCUAGAAUGAAAUAAUUAUGUGCUGAAGUAAGCAACAUUAAAGAUCUCUUUGGCUAAAUUUCGUCGCGAAUUGUGUAUCCAUGGUGUGUGUGUGUCGCACACAUUUUUAUAUGCUAAUUUAUUUGUAGAUUUGAUUAUGAUAUCAAUAAUUUAGUUGUAGAGGACAGUAUUUUAUUGGUCUUGUUUUGAGAUUCCGUAGAUAAUUAUUAGGUAUUACAAUUAUCAUAUUUAAUAUGAUAUUUUAUCAACUGUUUCUGUACACUAUUAAUUUCUCUA